AUGAUGGCUGCAAACGAAGAUAUAGACAACAUUUCCAACGGAGUUGAUGAAGAGAAUGACAUGAACUGUACAGAGUGUAUGAAUAAGGACUUAAAUGUGCCAUUGCAUAAUUCAUGUGCACAUUUCUUCCAUAGGGUGAUGGGGAAUGUCAGUUUUCGUGAUUUAGAGAAAUUAGCCAGUGUGUGUCCUGAUUUGAAAAUGUUAAAAUGUAGUAAAUUUCUAGACUGUUCAGUGUGUAAGCAAGCAAAAAUCAAAGCAUACCCUGUAGCAAAGAAAAGCAAAAUGAAGGCUAGUAGGCCUUUUGAGGUUGUACACGCUGAUUUAGCAGGGCCUUUUCCUGAAAGUGAAGGGAAAGCUAGAUAUUUCUUUGUUACAGUAGUCAGGUUUACCAGAUAUGGAUUUGUUUACAAUUUGAAAAAUAAGAGUGAUGUUUAUCAAACAUUCAAACAGUGGGUGCUAAUGAUAGAAAGAACAUUCCCUUACAAAGUGGCCUCAUUAGUUACAGAUAGAGGUGGAGAAUUUUGUAGUAGUGAUUUCCGAAGUUGGCUUGCUGAGACUGGCAUAAUGCAUAAGACCACUAACCCGUAUACACCGGCUGAAAAUGGGUUAGCUGAAAGGCGCAUAGGAGUGAUCAAUGACAUGAAGGAGUGUAUGUUAAAAGAUGCUGAAGCACCUUUUGGUUUAUGGGGAGAAGCCAUUCAUACAGCCAAUUAUGUAUUAAAUAGGGUGUGGUGCUCAGCGAUAGAACAGACACCAUUUUUUGCUUUGUAUGAAAGACCACUCAGUCUCAAACAUCUCAGAAUUUUUGGCCAAUUCGCUUUUGUCCACGUACCAGCUCAACAGAGGAGGAAAGGUCAAGCAAAAUGUCAAAAGUUAAGGUUUACUGGUUAUGAGGGAAACAAAUAUCGCUUUUAUGCUGGUAAUGGUAGGAUAGUGCUUUCCAGAAGUGCCAACUUUGAGACACAUUGUGGGUUGGAAAGGAUACACUGUAACAAAGAAGUGUUUGUUCAGUUUGAUUUAAAAAAAGGUGAUGAAGUUACAGAUGCAAAUGAGAGUGUUGAAGAGGAAGAUUCAUUGUCAGAUAGUGAUGAAGUGCCAAAUGUUCCUUUGCCACAUUCUAGGCUUAGGGAUAGGAAAAAGAAAGAGAGACACAAGUCCAGCGAUGAAGAAUCUAGUGGCGCUGAAAAUAUAAUUUUGAGAAGGAGCAAAAGUGUUAGAAAGCCACCAGACAGAUAUGGCAAACCAGUGCUUUACCAGGCCACAGGAAAUUUGCAGUUAGAUGAUGAACCUGGGAGUUACCAACAAGCCAUGGAAAGUGUUAAUGCUGAAGAAUGGAAAAUAGCCAUGGAUAAUGAAUACAAUUCCAUGGUGCAGCAACGAGUAUUUGACAUCAUUGAUAGACCUAAAGAUCAGAAGGUUAUUGACUGUAGAUGGGUUUAUAAAAAGAAAAUAUUUCCUGAUGGUAGUUAG
rnacentral:lncRNA from 1 species